GUUAUGUUAACUGCAAAAAGGAAACUAGGAGUUAGAAAAAAAGGAAAUCAGGCACCGUCAUAAUUCGUAAGUGUGUUUAUAAAAAGGGGAAUGCUUAAGCAGAGAGACUCAGAGACUCGUAAUUUUUUCAUAAUUUGUUUUGCUUUCUUCUUUCUCUCGAUUGCUAGUAUCGUGACGGAAGACGAUUUCCAGCUAUGUUUCUCUCGAUGAAAUCAUUCAUGACCGAGAAGAUUUGUAUCAAUAAUUACUGUAAGAAUUCUUCCAAUUCUCUUAAUUUCUAGGGUUUCUAAAUUUCAAUAUUUAC